rnacentral:tRNA from 2 species
UGGGGCAUCGACAAGUGGUAAGUCAACGGUUUUUGAUACCGUCACUCCUAGGUUCGAAUCCUAGUGCCCCAGCCA